rnacentral:rRNA from 1 species
CCUACGGGUGGCAGCAGUGGGGAAUAUUGGGCAAUGGGCGCAAGCCUGACCCAGCAACGCAGCGUGAAGGAAGAAGGCCCUCGGGUUGUAAACUUCUUUUGUCAGGGACGAAACCAAUGACGGUACCUGACGAAUAAGCCACGGCUAACUACGGGCCAGCAGCCGUGGUAAUACGUCGGUGGCAAGCGUUAUCCGGAUUCAUUGGGUUUAAAGGGUGCGCAGGCGGGCCUUUAAGCCGGCGGUGACAGCGAGGGGCUCAACCCCGCCGAGCCGUCGGAACUGGGGGCCUUGAGUGCGGCGGAGGCAUGCGGAAUGCGCGGUGUAGCGGUGAAAUGCAUAGAUAUCGCGCAGAACCCCGAUUGCGAAGGCAGCGUGCCGUGCCGCCACUGACGCUGAGGCACGAAGGCGCGGGGAUCGAACAGGAUUAGAUACCCGUGUAGUC